UACGGGGGGGGCAAGCGUUGUUCGGAAUUACUGGGCGUAAAGGGCUCGUAGGCGGCCAACUAAGUCAGACGUGAAAUCCCUCGGCUUAACCGGGGAACUGCGUCUGAUACUGGAUGGCUUGAGUUUGGGAGAGGGAUGCGGAAUUCCAGGUGUAGCGGUGAAAUGCGUAGAUAUCUGGAGGAACACCGGUGGCGAAGGCGGCAUCCUGGACCAAUACUGACACUGAGGAGCGAAAGCCGGGGGAGCAAACGGG
rnacentral:rRNA from 1 species